rnacentral:rRNA from 1 species
AACGAACGCUGGCGGCAGGCUUAACACAUGCAAGUCGAACGCCCCGCAAGGGGAGUGGCAGACGGGUGAGUAACGCGUGGGAAUCUACCCAUCUCUGCGGAAUAGCUCCGGGAAACUGGAAUUAAUACCGCAUACGCCCUACGGGGGAAAGAUUUAUCGGGGAUGGAUGAGCCCGCGUUGGAUUAGCUAGUUGGUGGGGUAAAGGCCUACCAUGGCGACGAUCCAUAGCUGGUCUGAGAGGAUGAUCAGCCACAUCGGGACUGAGACACGGCCCAAACUCCUACGGGAGGCAGCAGUGGGGAAUAUUGGACAAUGGGCGCAAGCCUGAUCCAACCAUGCCGCGUGAGUGAUGAAGGCCUUAGGGUUGUAAAGCUCUUUCACCGGUGAAGAUAAUGACGGUAACCGGAGAAGAAGCCCCGGCUAACUUCGUGCCAGCCGCCGCCGUAA